rnacentral:rRNA from 1 species
GAUGAACGCUGGCGGCGUGCCUAAUACAUGCAAGUAGAACGCUGAAGCUUGGUGCUUGCACCGAGCGGAUGAGUUGCGAACGGGUGAGUAACGCGUAGGUAACCUGCCUCUUAGCGGGGGAUAACUAUUGGAAACGAUAGCUAAUACCGCAUAAAAGUCGAUAUCGCAUGAUAUUGAUUUGAAAGGUGCAAAUGCAUCACUAAGAGAUGGACCUGCGUUGUAUUAGCUAGUUGGUGAGGUAACGGCUCACCAAGGCGACGAUACAUAGCCGACCUGAGAGGGUGAUCGGCCACACUGGGAAUGAGACACGGCCCAGACUCCUACGGGAGGCAGCAGUAGGGAAUCUUCGGCAAUGGGGGCAACCCUGACCGAGCAACGCCGCGUGAGGGAAGAAGGUUUUCGGAUCGUAAAGCUCUGUUGUAAGAGAAGAACGAGUGUGAGAGUGGAAAGUUCACACUGUGACGGUAACUUACCAGAAAGAGACGGCUAACUACGUG